rnacentral:rRNA from 1 species
CUAUACCUACGGGACGCAGCAGUCGGGAAUAUUGCGCAAUGGAGGAAACUCUGACGCAGUGACGCCGCGUGCAGGAAGAAGGUUUUCGGAUUGUAAACUGCUUUAGACAGGGAAGAAACAAGACAGUACCUGUAGAAUAAGCUUCGGCUAACUACGUGCCAGCAGCCACGGUAAUACGUAGGGAGCAAGCGUUAUCCGGAUUUAUUGGGUGUAAAGGGUGCGUAGACGGGAAAACAAGUUGGUUGUGAAAUCCCUCGGCUUAACUGAGGAACUGCAACCAUAACUAUUUUUCUUGAGUGCUGGAG